rnacentral:rRNA from 1 species
UACGUAGGGUGCAAGCGUUGUCCGGAAUUAUUGGGCGUAAAGAGCUCGUAGGUGGCCUGUCGCGUCGGCUGUGAAAACUCGGGGCUCAACUCCGAGCUUGCAGUCGAUACGGGCAGGCUAGAGUUCGGCAGGGGAGACUGGAAUUCCUGGUGUAGCGGUGAAAUGCGCGAUAUCAGGAGGAACACCGGUGGCGAAGGCGGUCCUCUGGGCCUGUACUGACGCUGAAGGAAGCGAAAGGCAGUGGGGGAGUCGAACAGG